UGCCUACGGGAGGCAGCAGUGAGGAAUAUUGGUCAAUGGGCUUACGCCUGAACCAGCCAAGUCGCGUGAGGGAAGACUGCCCUAUGGGUUGUAAACUUCUUUUAUAAAGGAAUAAAGUGAGGCACGUGUGCCUUUUUGUAUGUACUUUAUGAAUAAGGAUCGGCUAACUCCGUGCCAGCAGCCGCGGUAAUACGGAGGAUCCGAGCGUUAUCCGGAUUUAUUGGGUUUAAAGGGAGCGUAGAUGGGUUGUUAAGUCAGUUGUGAAAGUUUGCGGCUCAACCGUAAAAUUGCAAUUGAUACUGGCA
rnacentral:rRNA from 1 species